GGCCCCUUGGUCAAGCGGUUAAGACACCGCCCUUUCACGGCGGUAUCACGGGUUCGAUUCCCGUAGGGGUCACCA
rnacentral:tRNA from 1 species